rnacentral:lncRNA from 10 species
CUCCAAAGGAGGAAUGUCUGACGUGGUCUGUAAUAUAGAAGUCUGAAAUCAAGGUGUCAGCAGCACCAUGCUCUCUUGAAAUCUUUAGAAGAGGAUCCUUCCUUGCCUCUUCCUAGCUUCUGGUGGUCCGCAGGCAAUCUUUGGUGUUCCUUGGUUUGUAUAUGCAUCGCUCUAGUCCUCCAUCUUCACACGAAGUUCUUCUUGUGCCUCUGUGUCUUCACAUGGCAUCCUUUUUAUAAGGAUGUCAGUCAUAUUGGAUAGCACCCUACUCCAGCAUAAUACCAUCUUAACUUAAUUACAUCUGCGAUGACCUGUCUCCAAAUCAGGUCACAUUCUGAGGAACCCAGGGUUUGGACUUCAACAUAUGUUUUUUGGAGGAAGCAGUUUGAUCUCUAACGCCAUGUUAAAAUCAAUGGACUGUAGAUCCUGGUAAUGUUAAGCAGUUUAUCAACCUUGGCAUUAUUGACCUGUUGCACUGAAUAAUUCUUUGCACUGAAUUAUGUUUUGUACUGGAAAAUUCAGGAGGUCUGUCCUGUAUAUUGGGAGAUGUCACCAGCAUCUUUGGCCUUUACCUGUUAGAUGCCAGUAACACCCUCUUGGUGUGAUAACCAAAAAUGUCUUCAGACAUCUCUAAAUACCUGCUGGAGGGGUGGACAUCAACAUUGCCCUUAGUUGAAAACCACAGAUGAAAGAAAAAGAAUAAAGAAAGGCAUACAUAAAGGAAAGCCAGAGAGGAAGCGAACAGG